GUUCCUGUAGUUAAAUAUGUAUAACGGCGGUUUUUCAGGUCGUAGAUCUCAGAGAGAGGCUGAGCAGGAAUA
rnacentral:tRNA from 1 species